rnacentral:piRNA from 1 species
UGCGAAGCAGAGCUCUCUCACGUGG